AACCCAUCACCCCUACUGAACUAUUUUAUAAUACUAUAAAAAUAAUUAUGCUAGAACUAGUAACAAGAAGUCGCCCUUCUCCAUAAUGCAAGCAUAAACCAAAACGGACACUCCAUUGGUAAUUAACGUAAAUGUAAAACCAUAACAACACAACCAGAAAACCUUAUGGCCGCCACACGUUACCCUAACACCAGAGCAUUACAGGAAAGAUUAAAAGAUAAAGAAGGAACUCGGCAAAUUUUAACCCCGCCUGUUUACCAAAAACAUCGCCUCUUGACUAAAUAUAAGAGGUCCAGCCUGCCCAGUGAUAAUAUUCAACGGCCGCGGUAUACUGACCGUGCGAAGGUAGCAUAAUCACUUGUUCUUUAAAUGGGGACUCGUAUCAACGGCAUCACGAGGGUUACACUGUCUCCUCUCUCCAAUCAGUGAAACUGAUCCCCCCGUGAAGAAGCGGGGAUUCAAUUAUAAGACGAGAAGACCCCAUGGAGCUUUAAACCCAACAUACACCUCUACAUUCAAACACCAAUUUAACCAAAAAGGCCUGUACGUCGGUUUUAGGCUGGGGGGGCCACGGAGUAAAACUAAACCUCCAUAAUAAAUGGGCUAACACCCUAAUCUAUGACUUAUGAGUCUAAGAAUCACUAAAAUGAUGUUUAAUGACCCGAUAAUUCGAUCAAUAGACCAAGUUACCCUGGGGAUAACAGCGCAAUCCACUUCAAGAGCCCCUAUCGACAAGUGGGUUUACGACCUCGAUGUUGGAUCAGGGUAUCCUAGUGGUGCAGCCGCUAC
rnacentral:rRNA from 1 species